UACAGAGGUCCCAAGCGUUGUUCGGAUUCACUGGGCGUAAAGGGUGCGUAGGCGGUCGGGUCAGUCUGAUGUGAAAUCUCACAGCUUAACUGUGAAACUGCAUUGGGUACUAUCCGGCUAGAGGAAUGGAGGGGAGACUGGAAUACUUGGUGUAGCAGUGAAAUGCGUAGAUAUCAAGUGGAACACCGGUGGCGAAGGCGGGUCUCUGGGCAGUAACUGACGCUGAGGAGCGAAAGCGUGGGGAGCGAACAGG
rnacentral:rRNA from 1 species